UACGUAGGGUGCGAGCGUUAAUCGGAAUUACUGGGCGUAAAGCGUGCGCAGGUGGUUCGUUAAGACAGAUGUGAAAUCCCCGGGCUUAAACUGGGAACUGCAUUUGUGACUGGCGAGCUAGAGUAUGGCAGAGGGGGGUAGAGUUCCACGUGUAGCAGUGAAAUGCGUAGAGAUGUGGAGGAAUACCGAUGGCGAAGGCAGCCCCCUGGGCCAAUACUGACGCUCAUGCACGAAAGCGUGGGGAGCAAACAGG
rnacentral:rRNA from 1 species